rnacentral:rRNA from 1 species
GGCAAACGGGUGCGGAACACGUACGCAACCUUCUUUUAACUGGAGAAUAGCCUGGGGAAACUCGGAUUAAUACUCCGUAACAUUAUGAAGUGGCAUCACUUUAUAAUUAUAGCUCCGGCGGUUAAAGAUGGGCGUGCGCCUGAUUAGGUAGUUGGCGGGGUAACGGCCCACCAAGCCUACGAUCAGUAACUGGUGUGAGAGCACGACCAGUCACACGGGCACUGAGACACGGGCCCGACUCCUACGGGAGGCAGCAGUAAGGAAUAUUGGUCAAUGGACGCAAGUCUGAACCAGCCAUGCCGCGUGGAGGAUGAAGGUCCUCUGGAUUGUAAACUUCUUUUAUUUGGGAAGAAACCCCCGAUUUCUAUUGGGGUUGACGGUACCAGAUGAAUAAGCACCGGCUAACUCCGUGCCAGCAGCCGCG